UACGGGGGGGGUAAGCGUUGUUCGGAAUUACUGAGCGUAAAGGGCUCGUGGGCGGCCAACUAAGUCGGACGUGAAAUCCCUCAGCUUAACUGGGGAACUGCGUCCGAUACUGGAUGGCUUGGAUUUGGGAGAGGGAUGCGGAAUUCCAGGUGUAGCGGUGAAAUGCGCAGAUAUCAGGAGGAACACCGGUGGCGAAGGCGGUUCUCUGGGAAUAUCCUGACGCUGAGGAGCGAAAGUGUGGGGAGCGAACAGG
rnacentral:rRNA from 1 species